ACUCUUUUUUAUUGACCGAUUUGGCUGUUUUGUAGGCAAUUGAAUGGUUCAGCUAUUUAAUUUUCGUCGGAAUACAUUUUUUAGAAUUGUUUGUUGGAGCACAUGAGCAACAUGUAUUCACGUAGGCGUUGGGCUUAGAUUGGCCACUAAACGAUUUAAUGUACUUUUCUUUCUUUUUCUUUUUUGCGGGGAUGCGAUUUUCUGCUCUCAAUGGGAUAUUAUAAUCUUUUUUAGGGAGGCAAAAUAUUUAAGCUAGGCAGAAUUGAUUGAUCGUGUCCAUGUUACAGGCGGGAACAUACACAUCCUUUAUUUAUUUAAAAUAUUUUUUAAUCUGGACCAUAAAUUUUUAUAAUCAAUGAAUUAAAUAAUUUUGUAUUAUGAACGGAUGUGGUGGCUUCUUUUUUGUUUUCUAACAUUAAUAUUUUCAAGUACGGGCUGGUUUUAGCCUUUUUUAAUAGGGUGCCUCUGGUUUAUAGUUUUAUAAUUUUUUAAUCAGUUGAUUAGCGGCCGCUUGGUGGGUUGGCCUGUCGCCGUGUCCGAUUGAAACUGUGCAUCUCCCUGGGCCAGGUUUUAUUUGGAUGCAUGCAAACGUAUAGGUGUGUAUUUCUAUGGAGGCACGUGAUAGAUAUAUUUGCAUGUAACUUUUUUAUUUGUUAAUUUUAACUGCCGCACGCUUCCCUAUAUAUGCAUAUAUAUACAUGUGACGGUUCAAUGCGACCGUAUAUACAUGUUUACCAUGUUACGUAACAACUUUAAAUCUUAGCCAUUAUUAUUUUGAUCAAACGGUGCAAAUAAUAUAUAGAAAGUUUAUUAAGGACCCAGGCUGAAGAAUAAGUAAUUCUUCAUCCCGAUCCAUCUACCGAGCCAGGAUUCGGUCGCUCGGCCGUGUGGAUGCAAUUCCUUUUUUUUCACGCCCGCACAACGUAAGAUUACCUCGCAACUUUUGGCACACGGGUAGCUCCUGGCCAUUAAAAAAAAUCCUUGCUUUGGUCGUGGCAUUAGCAGGUUGCCCAGCCAGGUCCCCUGGUUAGGCAAGGCAACUGCGAGCGGUUGGAGCUCCGAUGGUGAUUAGCGGCGGUGGGCGGCGAGUGUGGUGGUCUGCGCAGAAUCGGCGUCCCGGCCUGGUAAGUGCGCGUGUGGCCUCGGCGUCUCUGCGGGUUCGUCAGUGCCAGGUGACGCGGCGGGUGGGGGUUGACACGGUGCUGCAUCGACCGCCAUUGAUUCUUGAUUUCCGACGGCCGCGGCGGCGCUGCUCCAGUACGCGCGGCGUCAUGGAAUUUGAAGAGGUUGAGGCAACAAAGAGAACAGAGGAAUAAGGUAGUCAGCUUUCUCUUCCUUUUCAUCUCUUGAUGCGGUGUCCUUUUCUUCCCAUCACGAUGGUGGGUAACCAGGUCUGCGCCGCUGGAGUUCUUCAGUAUAGCCCCAUCUCCAUCAACAUAUGGUAAAGGCUCAGAGGACCAACCCGCCCGCCCCCGUGUCGCUCCAACAGGGGCGACACGGGCGGCUAACCCUAGCCGCCGCCGCCGGCCUCCCCUCCCCUUCCUCUCCUCCUCGUCGCCACCAGAGGAGCCCCCGAUGCGUCGCGCGGCUACCGAGGAAGGUGGCGGCGGGGCCUUCGUCAUCCCUUCGCGGAGAUCCGGAUCCACGGGGCGGCGGCCCCUGCUGGUUCGGCGCCGCCGUUCGCGCCCUGGACGGUGUGCGCGGGGACUCUGCCCGGUGUCCUCGACCGCUCGGGUGGUGGGGAGUCGGCGCUUGGCGGCGGUAGUUCGGGGGCCUUCGUCCUCGCCAGAUCUGGAGGCCUGUUGCUCCCUCGUUCCCGCUCCUUCCCCUUUGCGCUUGAGGCCGGUGGAUGCUGCUGGUUCCGGUGCUUCUGGGGAUGGUGGUGCAGCAACACUCUUGUACUAACUAUUAAAGCUGUUUUUUUUUCUUCAGAGAAUGGUACACUUAUCUGCUGGAAAUAAGAAUGUAAUAUGUAUCUGUGGCAUUGCUUUAUUUUUUUUGCUUGAUCUACAUGUAUACCAUGAGGUGCCAGAUCAAGCAUUUUGACACACAGUUAAGGAUUUAAGGCCGAAAAGGCAGACUUAUUUAUAAGGCCAGGAGUAGGCAUUUGCUUAGCGUGCCACAUUGCCACAAUAUUUCUAGUGUUAGUUUUCUAACAAUUUGUGUAUGAAGGCAACCUACUAUUCUCUCUUCAUCUGACUACAUGGGUAACAUUAUUUUGAUUAUUCAGUUGGUUGGAUGCUUAA